UACGACUCCAGGGUGAACAAUAAGA
rnacentral:piRNA from 1 species